rnacentral:tRNA from 1 species
UCCUCGGUAGCUCAGCGGUAGAGCAUUCGACUGUUAAUCGAAUGGUCGUAGGUUCGAAUCCUACCCGGGGAGCCA